UGUCAAGGGAUGGGAAUCGAACCCACGACCUUCCCCCUACCGGGCAGAUGCCAUGACCACUAGGCUACCCUGGAC